UACGGAGGGUGCAAGCGUUAUCCGGAUUCACUGGGUUUAAAGGGUGCGUAGGCGGGUUGGUAAGUCAGUGGUGAAAUCUUCAAGCUUAACUUGGAACUGCCGUUGAUACUAUCAAUCUUGAAUGUUGUGGAGGUAAGCGGAAUAUGUCAUGUAGCGGUGAAAUGCUUAGAUAUGACAUAGAACACCGAUAGCGAAGGCAGCUUGCUACACAAAAAUUGACGCUGAGGCACGGAAAGCGUGGGGAUCAAACAGG
rnacentral:rRNA from 1 species